GAGUUCUGAAUAGGGAAGAAACGUUUUUGAGCUCUUUAACUGAGAUUUGGAGAGAGAGCUUGAAGAUAGCUUCUGGGUCUGGCUUUAUCGAGACGUUAACAGAGGAUAUGCUGGUGAAGCAGGAUGCUGGGUACCGAGUCACGUUGCAGACAGUUUUGAUUGAGUUGACCGAGUUGGAAGCAGAGGAGAGAGAUGGGGAAUCAGACUCAGACUCAGAGGGCUCGGUGUUGGACUCGUAGAUCAAGGCUGCAAGCAUUAGGCCGAUGAUUAAUGUUAAAAGAAGGGCGGCGACGAUUAGGGAUUUUCGGAUAGUUUUAGAGUGGUGGGGGCCUUUAUUUUCAAGGGUGGAGUUUACUUUGCCAUAGCCUUUAAGGACGUUAAUGGAUUCCAUAGUUAGGUUUUGGAAGAUCAGAAAUGGCAGAUGCCAAUCCUUAAAGGUCUUUGAUACAAAGCAGAGGAAGAUAUCUGUGUAUGACCAAGUCGAGAUUUUACCAUCAGCUUAAUGGACGUGGGUUUAGA
rnacentral:misc_RNA from 1 species